rnacentral:rRNA from 1 species
CUCCGGUUGAUCCUGCCGGACCCGACUGCUAUCAGAGUGGGACUAAGCCAUGCGAGUCAACGUAGCAAUACGUGGCAUACGGCUCAGUAACACGUAGUCAACAUGCCCAGGGGACGAGGAUAACCUCGGGAAACUGAGGAUAAACCUCGAUAGGCCAUGAUUUCUGGAAUGAUUCUUGGCUCAAACCUAUAUGGCCCCUGGAUUGGACUGCGGCCGAUCAGGCUGUUGGUGAGGUAAUGGCCCACCAAACCUAUUACCGGUACGGGCUCUGAGAGGAGGAGCCCAGAGAUGGGCACUGAGACAAGGGCCCAGGCCCUAUGGGGCGCAGCAGGCGCGAAACCUCUGCAAUAGGCGAAAGCUUGACAGGGUUACUCUGAGUGAUUUCCGCUAAGGGAAUCUUUUGGCACCUCUAAAAAUGGUGCAGAAUAAGGGGUGGGCAAGUCUGGUGUCAGCCGCCGCGGUAAUACCAGCACCCCGAGUGGUCGGGACGAUUAUUGGGCCUAAAGCAUCCGUAGCCGGUCCUGCAAGUCUUCCGUUAAAUCCAGCUGCUCAACAGAUGGGCUGCGGGAGAUACUACAGGGCUAGGAGGCGGGAGAGGCAAGCGGUACUUUAUGGGUAGGGGUAAAAUCCGCUGAUCCAUAGAAGACCACCAGUGGCGAAGGCGGCUUGCCAGAACGCGCUCGACGGUGAGGGAUGAAAGCUGGGGGAGCAAACCGGAUUAGAUACCCGGGUAGUCCCAGCUGUAAACGAUGCAGACUCGGUGAUGGGUUGGCCUCGCGCCUGCCCAGUGCCGCAGGGAAGCCGUUAAGUCUGCCGCCUGGGGAGUACGGUCGCAAGACUGAAACUUAAAGGAAUGGCGGGGGGACA